GAAGCAAGUCACUGGGUUCAGCCUACACUUAAGAGAGAGGACUAAGCAUGGGAGUAGAUACUAGGAGAGAAGGAAGCUCACAGAAACAUUAUCAUCUCAUGUCUCUGAAUAAUUUCUUUCGUGACUGAAGUGGCCACUAUGAAAAGGACCUACCUCAGCAGCUCAUGUUACUGUGAUCAAGUUCUGCCCAGCUGGUGAACACUCCCGUCCUGCCUUCCAUCUCUGCAGUCCCUUUGGAGCUUUCCAUAGGUGUUUAAUCUUUCCAGAAUUUACCCUUCAGGGUUAAGUUCUACUUUAGUCUAAGGUCAAUAUUUAUUUUAGAAGCAAGUGUGCCAAUGCAAUUGUUAGAAGACAUCUCAUAGAAAACCAGGACACAUGAGAUAAAUUCUUCUAGGUGGGAUUCCCUCAGCCGAAAGGUGACAUGUUGGCAUAAGGAGAACAUGAGCUGAAAUAUCCCUGAAUUUUUAGAACAAAAAGGUUGAAGUUCAAGUUAUACUUGCUAAGAAAUCAAGUAUUGAAAAAAGGCAUCAAUCUGCUCAAUCUUCCCGGAGAAGAGGACACUUAAGCUAAGAAAUGACAACAUCACAAUGUACAAUUAUCAACACAAAAGCAGACUGCCAUUCAGUUUGCUGAAGAGCAUACAGAUCCCUAAAGUAGCAUCGGCUUAAGUGAACUAGCUUUGUUAAGUCUGUAGCAUGUCAUUAUUUAUUACCUGCAGUUAAGAGGAAAUUCCUAAAACUAUGUAUUUGAGCAAUGAACUUGUCAUACAAUUUUGUAUAAAACUUACAGUAUAGCAUGUGAGAUGAGCACCAGAAAACAUGUGUUGUGGACUAAUAUAUUCCCUUGAAUCCAGUAAGCCCCAUUGUGGAUUUAACUGGCUAUAUUAAAAAUGGACACAUUGCUCAUCAGCAGAUGCAUGGCGAAAAGCAAAAAUAGUUUAAAAGCUUUCCUUGUUUCCUUAAAAAAAAAAAUCAACUUUGCAUUCUAAAAUGAAAGUAAACUUUUUUUUUUUAAACAUCUCAGUACCUUAGCAUUGUUCAAGUUGUCAAAGCUUAGGUAGACAAAGUGCUUCUAAAACACCAUUUAAAAUAUUUAUACAUAUACGUGUGUGCACAUAUACAUAUGUGUAUAUAUAUAUGUACAUAUAUACGUUUAUUGUCCUACAAGGACUUCACUGGAUGAGCAAAAUCCAGAGGCCUUUAAAUGUCCACAUUUUUUUUUUAAAAAAACCUCGUGUAAGAAUAGGUAAUUAUGCUAAAAACUUGAAUGAAAAGGUACCCCUAUUAUUCAAGGGCCUUGGAGUACACUGAUAGCAUCUUGAUGAUACAAGGCAUUAAAUUUUUAAUUGUUAAAGACACCAUUUUCUUAGCACCAUUUCUUAGAACAUCCAAACAAAUUCAGUGUUUUGCUGUCUAUUCAUUUAUGCUUCCUGUAGCUAUUUUGAUAAAUAAAAGUUAAUAUUAAGAUUA